rnacentral:rRNA from 1 species
UACGAAGGGGCUAGCGUUGCUCGGAAUCACUGGGCGUAAAGCGCACGUAGGCGGAUCGUUAAGUCAGGGGUGAAAUCCUGGAGCUCAACUCCAGAACUGCCUUUGAUACUGGCGAUCUUGAGUUCGGGAGAGGUGAGUGGAACUGCGAGUGUAGAGGUGAAAUUCGUAGAUAUUCGCAAGAACACCAGUGGCGAAGGCGGCUCACUGGCCCGAUACUGACGCUGAGGUGCGAAAGCGUGGGAGCAACAGG